rnacentral:tRNA from 1 species
GGGCCUGUAGCUCAGCCUGGUAGAGCACCUCCCUUGCAAGGAGGGGGCCUCGGGUUCA